UUUUAGGUUUAAUUAGGUCCCAUUUGUUUAUUUUUAUUUCCAUUACUCUAGGAGACAGAUCUAAAAAUGUUGCUAUAGCCUGGGUUUGAUUCCUGAACACUACCUUAGUUUUCUGUGGAUAAAUUAUGGAAUAACUCUGUCACCCAGAUUUUUAAAGUGUAGUUAUAUAAAAUUAAAAUUAUGUACUGAAUUUGAAACCAAAUAAUUGUCGGAAUAGUUGAACAAAUACCUGAAUAGUUGUAUAGGUGAAAAGUUAUUUGUAAACAAAAUAUUGUCUGGGGAUUAAUUUAAAGUAGAUUAUAAAAAUGAGAGAUAAAGCAAGAGCCCUAAUAUUUAUUCAUUUGCAAGUAAAACAUCUUUUCCAAACAGGCUUAAACAGUAAAAAUAUCUGUUGGAUUAUAAAAUCAUAAGAAUGUUUUAUUGCAAUUUAUCUGAAUCUGUUUCUCUGUGAUUUGUUCAACUAUGCCCUCCAUUAUUUAUUGAGUUCAUCUCCCUGUUUUUUUUUGUUGAUGGCAAAAUGUACAUAGACUGUGGCAAAUUUAAUAUUUACUCACCAUGACAGUCAGAGGGACAAACACUAACUUUUUCAGGGAUCUCUUUUAAAAUAAAAGAUAUAGUUUUCCCCAGAAACUUCCAGAAAAAUCUCAUAUUUUUUCUCAUUGGCCCCAACUAAGUCACAUACUCUUCCCUUAAUAGACCCCUGGAAUUCUCUGUUGCUAAAGGUUGGGGUGGGUGCUGCAGAAAUACAGAACAAAAAUCAGGAUUCCUUUAGAAAUGGGAAACAAAUCAAUGAAUUCAGGUGUUACUAAAAAUGUCUGGUAAAAUAGAGGGUGAUACAGGAGGUACAGCAUCCAUCAAAUUCAGUGCUCCCCCCAAUUUUUGGUAUCUAGAUUCCCUUUGGUUUGCCAAAUGUCUUAGGACAUAAAGAACUUUGUUUAUGUGGAUUACAUCUAUCAAUAUCUACCAUAUUGAAAAUGUAAACAAGUUGAAAUGUGUUUAUUAAACAUUGAAAAGUAAAAAUAAUAAGAUUAUGAUCUAUUACCUUACAUAAAUUAAAAAUAUCUUGAAGGAAGUAUUUAUUGAAUGACUAAAUGUGUCAGGCACUUUAUUGAGCAUUCAUGGCAUCAAAUCAGUUAUGUGAUGUUUGAUAUUCAGGAAGAAGAUAGGCCUUACUUUUGUUAUCUAACAGUUACAGUUUACCAUUUUUUUCUUUAAAAUUUUGCUCAUAUCUGUGCACUCUUCUCCUUUUAGGGUAUCUCCAGCCUCAGGUCUCCUCAUCUAAUACAUGGUUUGUUGAAGUUAGUCUCCUUGUUUCAGAGCUGUAAGCCAAUUGCAAGUUCAGGUUUCUGAAAGGUACCAUCACAUUAGUCUGUUCCCUGAAGACUUUAGUGACUGAUGGUUGUAAGAUAAAUUCAGAUUCUCAGAGUGGCAUUUAAGAUACUCAGUAACCUGACCUGCUUCCCAGCUUUUCCCCUACAUUCACCAACAGUUCUCACCAAUAUUCUGUCAGCUUUCUAAUUCAAUUCCAUGGUUCACCUCCCUCAUCCCCUUUCCCAGUGCCACACUCCUUUCCAUAGACAUGGACUCUAGUCAUACUCAUUCCUUUUUUUCCCCCAAAUAUAUUUUUUUUUCUAUUUUUAAGGCACAUUUUCCUUCUAAUACUACUUAUGAGCUAAAUAUUCCAGACUAAAAAAAUCUUCCUUCCUUCUUUUCUUCCUUCCUUCCUUCCUUUCUUUCUUCCUUCCUUCCUUCCUUCCUUCCUUCCUUCCUUCAUUCCUUCAUUCCUUUCUUUUCCUUUGUUUCUUUUGUCUUUUUAGGGCUGCACCCAAAGAAUAUGUAAUUUCCCACUCUAGUGGUCAAAUCAGAGCUGUAGGUGCCUGCCUACACCACAGCCACAGCAAUGUAGGAUCUGAGGUAUGCCUGUGACCUACACCAUAGCUCACUGCAAUGCUGGAUCCUUAAUUCACUGAGAGAGGCCAGGGAUUGCAACUGCAUCCUCAUGGAUACUAGUUGGGUUCAUUACCAGUGAACUAUAUUGGGGACUCCAAGAAUUUCCAUUUUCUUAAAUGCAAGGAUGUGGGGAGAAAGGCAGCAUUGACUCAAAUUCCAGCUCAUUUUCAUGAUAUAGAUGAACUUGGACAGGCUUCUUAAUAUUUCAAAUUAAGAGAUAUUUACUGAGGAAAACAUGAAAAUUCAUAUCUGAUACAUUGGUAGGCAAUAUAAUGAAAAGUCUAGCUUUGCACUUAACAGAUGGUAUAUUCACAAUACAUUUUUUUUCUAUUUUUUGCACAUAUAAUUAUUGUUUAGCUAUUUAAAAUUUUAAUGUUUCCUGCAUCAUUUGUGUUUGAGCAGCACCUCCAAAUUUUUAUUAAUGCUAUACAUAUAUCAAUCCUUACCUUGGAAUCAGUCCAGUUUAAUGGUGUCCCUAACAACAAGCAAAGCAAAUAAUAAUACCAGAGAGAAAAGCUGUAUUUACUUAAUAUACUUGGGAAUUACACUGCCAUGUAUGAUGGUUAACCAAUCAAACUACAUGAAAACAUGAAAUCUAUGGAAUUGUCACUAUAAAUAGAAUCAUCUUCAAACUAUAGAUUGAUAAGCCACUCAUAUAUUCAGAUACUCUACUUUAGAGAACUUGAGAAAUAUUUGUCCAACACCAAAGAGGAAAUUGUUCUGGAUUAGAGAAUACAUUGCUUUCAAAUUCAAACAUAAUCUCUUGAACAAUGCAAAACUGAGGACCAAACUGAAAUAUAUUUGUUUACUUUUGUCAUACAAUGUUGUAAAGGGGGCUUAAAAAUGGAUUAAUACUUGAGGACUUGGAAUAUGUGAUAGUUUGUAAGAUUGUGCCUUGGGAUCCCAGGAUACUGCCAGCAACGUUAAAGGGAGAUGACCUCCAUAUGUAGUGACUUCCACUCUCAGCAUUUGUUGAAGUUGUUAAAACAAAUUUUUCCCUUUAAAUUUUGCUUUUUACCACAAGGAGAAGAGCUUAUCCUUCAAUUUUCUCCUCUCAUCUUCUGUAAUACAGGCACACAGAUUCCGGGGAAUGUUCAUUCCUCUGAUGUGUUAGAUUUAAUGAUGGUACACCUGUAACUCAGUACUCACAAGGAUGUUUUGAUAAUCAGAGGGAGGAUGCUUACAUUGGGAGAGUUUUGUCUUUAUGAAUUUAUGGACGUAUAAUAUGUAAAUCUAGGGAACUCAUGUUUGUUUUAUUCAUCUCAAAUAAGGUCUGUGUUAGUUUUUACAAGUAAAGAUCCUUAAAGUAGAUUUAAAAUCACCUUUUCUGUACAUAUAAACUUUUUCAUUGAGGAAGAAGUUUUCAUAUGCUCUCCCAGUGUUGUGAAUGUUUUAAAUGAGCAAAGAUCAGAUAUAUUAUAUUUACCCCUUAGGAUUUCAUGAAUGUCAUGAAGGAUUAAAGAAAGGACAUUCAGUUUUAAAUACAUGUGACUAAUUCACUUUGCUGUACCCCUGAAUCCAACACAAUGUUGUAAAUCAACUAUAUUCCAAUAAAAUUAAAUUUAAAAGGAAGAUAAACUCAGAUAUUUAAGGAAUAAAAUGUGCAUUGUUUACCAAUUCUUUCAUCCUUCUUGCAAGGCCAUACCCAUUUUUAUGAACACUGACCCUGUCUAUGUCAUGUUCUUGUUGAUUUUUGCCCUUAUACAUGCAUCCUUUCUUCCUUUAUGUAAACUUAGUUUACAUAGAACGGUAAAUUAAUAAAGUUUUAACUAAAUGAUCCAGAUGAUUCUAACUUCCAAUUUCUGUACUCUCAACCAAGUCUUAUAUACCUGAUAGCUUACAAUAGCUCUUGUAUAGUCUAUGGUUUUUUUUUUUCAUACAUGUACACACAAUUUCCUUAUGAUGCUGGAGGCAUUUUGAGGUUUAGUAUGAUUUAUAUUUCUUACAAGAUCUGUACCAUGCUCUGUGCAAAAUUUGAUUUUGAUUCCAGUCUUACUAUCACUACAGCAACUUGUGAUACAUAAACUGUUUUCACUAUUCUGCUAGUGAUACUCAGGGACUUGACUGGUUGUUCUAACAGUGAAACUUAUUGACCUCUUCUGAAGUUUGCGUGUUUUAAUUUUGAAUGAGAGUCUACAAAGAUGAGUUCCUGUCAUGGCUCAGCACUAACAAACACAACUAGUAUCCAUGAGGAUGCAGUCUUGAUCUCUGGCCUCACUCAGUGGGUUAAAUGAUCUGGCAUUUCCAUGAGCUGUGGUGAAGUUUUCAGACAUGGCUUGGAUCUGGUGUUGCUGUGGCUGUGGUGUA
rnacentral:lncRNA from 1 species